rnacentral:rRNA from 1 species
UGGGGAAUUUUGCACAAUGGGGGAAACCCUGAUGCAGCGACGCCGCGUGAUUUAGAAGGCCUUCGGGUUGUAAAAAUCUUUUUUACGGGAUGAAAAUGACAGUACCGUAAGAAUAAGGUCCGGCUAAAUACGUGCCAGCAGCCGCGGUAAUACGUAAGGUCCGAGCGUUGUCCGGAAUCAUUGGGCGUAAAGGGUACGUAGGCGGGUAAGCAAGUUAGAAGUGAAAUCCUGUAGCUCAACUACAGUAAGCUUUUAAAACUGCUCAUCUUGAGAUAUGGAAGGGAAAGUGGAAUUCCUAGUGUAGCGGUGAAAUGCGCAGAUAUUAGGAGGAAUACCGGUGGCGAAGGCGACUUUCUGGCCAUAAUCUGACGCUGAGGUACGAAAGCGUGGGUAGCAAACAGG